AAACUACAACUGUAUAUUUGCAAAGAGACAAGGUUUAGAAUCAUAUAACUUUAAGCCUAAAAUGUGUUAUUGCAGUAAUCUGAUCCAGCCUCUUUUUAUUAAGGUGGAAACUGAAGUGCACCAAGAUUAAGUGACAUGCCUGUUGCUUCACAGAGGCCAAAAAGGAAUCAAAACCUAGGUCAUCUGAUUGGCAAGUGAGGAAGUACUAGUAACAUGCCUUUCUCUAAAGCAGGAUAUGUUUUAGAUCUUAAUUAAUAGCAAAUACAGUUUAAUCUCGUUACAAUUGCAGGUCACGUUCAGUUUGGCUUUAUAUUCAUACUUAAAGCAGCAGCUUUCUAGAGCAACUUUUCUCGUAAUGGAGGCCAAAAUUCAAAGAGGUCAAGCGUAUCCAUGCAAGCACAUGAUUUGCAGGUAUUGGGUUGCACUAGGUGUAUAUUAUAUUCAUUCAGUGUCCAUUGUCCUAAGGAACACAAGGAGCCAAAUCCAACUUGCGUGGGUCACGUGGCAAGAGUGCCAUGGAAUAAUGCUGUUAGCUGAAGUGGUAAAGAUAAUCUAUUACAGGAGUUUGUAUAGAUUGGGGUCAUGGUUGCAGAAGGUCAGGAUUGCUAUGACAACUUUUAAAAUAAGACAACAAUGAAAUUUACUGCAUCAAUUUAAUCUUCCUUUCAUGAAAGUUUUCUCUGUAGUGUGCAAUGCUGUUUGACAGCAUUAUACCCACAGUGGAAGUUUUUUUCCAAAAUUGAAACCAAUCCUCUCAAA
rnacentral:lncRNA from 1 species